ensembl:lncRNA novel transcript
AUGCUUCAGUUCCCUAAAAAAGAAAACACUUCUCCUGUGCAGGGGAAAUUGCUUCAAUGGAUAGAUUGCAUUUAAAUAAUUUAAGUAUAAAAUUACUCGAACAGGCCGACUGAUAUUUCGAAAACGAAACAGUCACAAUCACUUAAGAAUGCUGGCAAAGUUCGUGAUUUGGUGUGUAGAUGAGAGCUGGAGGGAAUGGGCUCCCCAUUGAGGUGAUGGACUUCAUCCCUGGUGCUAUUCAAGCAGUGGCUGUGGGCUUCCAGUCAGGGAUGCAGUGAAUGAGCCUCUUAUACCAGAGAAGGAUGGAUAGAGAAAAGCAUCAUUACAAAAGUGAAAUGUGUGAAUUUUAUUCUGGCUUUGAACAUUGAGUAGACGAAGAAGACAAUUCCAGACGGAGGAAACUCCACAAGAAAUAUCAUGGAAAUUUGAAAGAACACAGUGGGCUUGGGAAGAGAGAUCUCAGUGGUGGAAGCACCAUCAUCCCAAGGAGACUUAGGAAAAAGACAAGGCCCUGCUCUGAGGAGUGAAGACACAAUCCAGCAGGCAGGAGGGAUGGCUAAGUUCAAAGUCUUGAGAAGUGCCCCUCAUGGACACCCCAGGGUGCCCAUCUCCAGGUUACCACCAGGUGCUUCCAAGACCAAGAUAACCAGGCAAUCAUAGUAGAUGCAUCAAUGCACCCUUGCCCAAGGGCCUAGACAAGAGGUAUUGUUUAGCUUCGCAUGAAUUUUAUCACCUUGCCUAGAACCAGCCACCAUCUGCCAGGGCUCCUGACUUUUUCUGAAAUGAAUAGACACUAAAGCCUGCUGGGGAAUUUCAUGGAAAUCAAGAUGACUCAACCCAGAGUCCAUUUCAAGGCUAGGAUGCUAGAGGACGCCAACAAAGGAGUAGGGAAGUGAAACGGAUCAGCUCACAUCCAAGCCCUUGCAUGAUCAAUCCUGCAGUAGGAGUGCUGCUCAGUUGGGACUCAUGAGAGCCCGGAAGAGGAAAAAGCAGCUCUAAGCAUAGCAAAGAAGCUGUUAUGGAAAAGACCCAAAUGUUAAAAUGGUGGACAUAGUAAAGUGAUUGGUUCUGCUUAGGGGAAUCUAGAUCCCCACAUUUUGACCUCCACUGGAGUCUCAGAAGAACAAGUGCCAGGGGGGCUUGCCACAGAGGCCAAGGCAGUGAAUGUCAGGCACAUCACAGUCCCCAAGAUGGGGAGAAGACUGAGAUGCAGGGUAACAACUGCAAUCCAUUCAUGGGAGCCAUGUUUAUCUUAAAUCAUUGACAGUGAGAUAAGGAUCAUGUCAGCCUUCAUACCUUUGAUGAUGAUCCCAGGCUGCAACAGUGACACAUAGAACUGGAUUCAGUAACUAACUACAGAUUCCAUCAACCAGGACUAGUAAAGUGAAAGGCAGAAAUUGGGAGGAGGGGUUUCUUUCUUGCUUAUAAAACUUUAUUUGGUUGUGUUGAGUAUGUGCAUGUAUGUAUGAAAUCCCAUAAAGCAGUCUUCUUAGGAACAAGCCAACAUGCCACAAUGUAGGAGAUCUUUGGAGCACUGGCCUAAAUGGCAGAGAGCUCAAGGGACUCUGCUUUGUACAAGGCAUGAUUUGUACCACCACCACUAUCCCUGUUUCAGAGCACUGUUGAAUUGUUCCAAACCUGGAUUUCUAUGUCAGCUCCCUGUCUAUAGUACUUGACUGAUA